rnacentral:rRNA from 2 species
UACACAUGCAGUCGAGGGGUAUAUGUCUUCGGAUAUAGAGACCGGCGCACGGGUGCGUAACGCGUAUGCAAUCUACCUUUUACAGAGGGAUAGCCCAGAGAAAUUUGGAUUAAUACCUCAUAGUAUUAUUGAGUGGCAUCACUUAAUAAUUAAAGUCACAACGGUAAAAGAUGAGCAUGCGUCCCAUUAGCUAGUUGGUAAGGUAACGGCUUACCAAGGCAACGAUGGGUAGGGGUCCUGAGAGGGAGAUCCCCCACACUGGUACUGAGACACGGACCAGACUCCUACGGGAGGCAGCAGUGAGGAAUAUUGGACAAUGGGCGCAAGCCUGAUCCAGCCAUGCCGCGUGCAGGAUGACGGUCCUAUGGAUUGUAAACUGCUUUUGUACGAGAAGAAACACUGCUUCGUGAAGCAGCUUGACGGUAUCGUAAGAAUAAGGAUCGGCUAACUCCGUGCCAGCAGCCGCGGUAAUACGGAGGAUCCAAGCGUUAUCCGGAAUCAUUGGGUUUAAAGGGUCCGUAGGCGGUUUAGUAAGUCAGUGGUGAAAGCCCAUCGCUCAACGGUGGAACGGCCAUUGAUACUGCUGAACUUGAAUUAUUAGGAAGUAACUAGAAUAUGUAGUGUAGCGGUGAAAUGCUUAGAGAUUACAUGGAAUACCAAUUGCGAAGGCAGGUUACUACUAAUUGAUUGACGCUGAUGGACGAAAGCGUGGGGAGCGAACAGGAUUAGAUACCCUGGUAGUCCACGCCGU